UUAAGCGACUAAGCGUACACGGUGGAUGCCUAGGCAGUCAGAGGCGAUGAAGGGCGUGCUAAUCUGCGAAAAGCGUCGGUAAGCUGAUAUGAAGCGUUAUAACCGACGAUACCCGAAUGGGGAAACCCAGUGCAAUACGUUGCACUAUCGUUAGAUGAAUACAUAGUCUAACGAGGCGAACCGGGGGAACUGAAACAUCUAAGUACCCCGAGGAAAAGAAAUCAACCGAGAUUCCCCCAGUAGCGGCGAGCGAACGGGGAGGAGCCCAGAGUCUGAAUCAGUUUGUGUGUUAGUGGAAGCGUCUGGAAAGUCGCACGGUACAGGGUGAUAGUCCCGUACACCAAAAUGCACAGGCUGUGAACUCGAUGAGUAGGGCGGGACACGUGACAUCCUGUCUGAAUAUGGGGGGACCAUCCUCCAAGGCUAAAUACUCCUGACUGACCGAUAGUGAACCAGUACCGUGAGGGAAAGGCGAAAAGAACCCCGGCGAGGGGAGUGAAAUAGAACCUGAAACCGUGUACGUACAAGCAGUGGGAGCACCUUCGUGGUGUGACUGCGUACCUUUUGUAUAAUGGGUCAGCGACUUAUAUUUUGUAGCAAGGUUAACCGAAUAGGGGAGCCGUAGGGAAACCGAGUCUUAACUGGGCGUCUAGUUGCAAGGUAUAGACCCGAAACCCGGUGAUCUAGCCAUGGGCAGGUUGACAGGUUGGGUAACACUAACUGGAGGACCGAACCGACUAAUGUUGAAAAAUUAGCGGAUGACUUGUGGCUGGGGGUGAAAGGCCAAUCAAACCGGGAGAUAGCUGGUUCUCCCCGAAAGCUAUUUAGGUAGCGCCUCGUGAACUCAUCUUCGGGGGUAGAGCACUGUUUCGGCUAGGGGGCCAUCCCGGCUUACCAAACCGAUGCAAACUCCGAAUACCGAAGAAUGUUAUCACGGGAGACACACGGCGGGUGCUAACGUCCGUCGUGAAGAGGGAAACAACCCAGACCGCCAGCUAAGGUCCCAAAGUCAUGGUUAAGUGGGAAACGAUGUGGGAAGGCACAGACAGCCAGGAUGUUGGCUUAGAAGCAGCCAUCAUUUAAAGAAAGCGUAAUAGCUCACUGGUCGAGUCGGCCUGCGCGGAAGAUGUAACGGGGCUAAACCAUGCACCGAAGCUGCGGCAGCGACACUUAGGUGUUGUUGGGUAGGGGAGCGUUCUGUAAGCCGUUGAAGGUGACCUGUGAGGGUUGCUGGAGGUAUCAGAAGUGCGAAUGCUGACAUAAGUAACGAUAAUGCGGGUGAAAAACCCGCACGCCGGAAGACCAAGGGUUCCUGUCCAACGUUAAUCGGGGCAGGGUGAGUCGACCCCUAAGGCGAGGCUGAAAAGCGUAGUCGAUGGGAAACAGGUUAAUAUUCCUGUACUUGGUGUUACUGCGAAGGGGGGACGGAGAAGGCUAGGCUGGCCGGGCGACGGUUGUCCCGGUUUAAGCGUGUAGGGGGAGUGACCAGGUAAAUCCGGUUGCUUAUCAACCCUGAGGCGUGAUGACGAUGCACCACGGUGCAGAAGCAGUUGAUGCCAUGCUUCCAGGAAAAGCCUCUAAGCAUCAGGUAACAUUAAAUCGUACCCCAAACCGACACAGGUGGUCAGGUAGAGAAUACUCAGGCGCUUGAGAGAACUCGGGUGAAGGAACUAGGCAAAAUGGUGCCGUAACUUCGGGAGAAGGCACGCUGGCGUUAGGUGAAAGGACUAGCUCCUGGAGCUGAAGCCAGUCGCAGAUACCAGCUGGCUGCAACUGUUUAAUAAAAACACAGCACUGUGCAAACACGAAAGUGGACGUAUACGGUGUGACGCCUGCCCGGUGCUGGAAGGUUAAUUGAUGGGGUCAGCCGCAAGGCGAAGCUCUUGAUCGAAGCCCCAGUAAACGGCGGCCGUAACUAUAACGGUCCUAAGGUAGCGAAAUUCCUUGUCGGGUAAGUUCCGACCUGCACGAAUGGCGUAAUGAUGGCCAGGCUGUCUCCACCCGAGACUCAGUGAAAUUGAACUCGCUGUGAAGAUGCAGUGUACCCGCGGCAAGACGGAAAGACCCCGUGAACCUUUACUAUAGCUUGACACUGAACAUUGAGCCUUGAUGUGUAGGAUAGGUGGGAGGCCUUGAAGUGUGGACGCCAGUCUGCAUGGAGCCAACCUUGAAAUACCACCCUUUAAUGUUUGAUGUUCUAACUCGGCCCCAUGAUCUGGGGUGAGGACAGUGUCUGGUGGGUAGUUUGACUGGGGCGGUCUCCUCCCAAAGAGUAACGGAGGAGCACGAAGGUUAGCUAAUCACGGUCGGACAUCGUGAGGUUAGUGCAAAGGCAUAAGCUAGCUUGACUGCGAGAGUGACGGCUCGAGCAGGUACGAAAGUAGGUCUUAGUGAUCCGGUGGUUCUGAAUGGAAGGGCCAUCGCUCAACGGAUAAAAGGUACUCCGGGGAUAACAGGCUGAUACCGCCCAAGAGUUCAUAUCGACGGCGGUGUUUGGCACCUCGAUGUCGGCUCAUCACAUCCUGGGGCUGAAGUAGGUCCCAAGGGUAUGGCUGUUCGCCAUUUAAAGUGGUACGCGAGCUGGGUUUAGAACGUCGUGAGACAGUUCGGUCCCUAUCUGCCGUGGGCGUUGGAAGAUUGAGAGGGGCUGCUCCUAGUACGAGAGGACCGGAGUGGACGAAUCACUGGUGUUCGGGUUGUCAUGCCAAUGGCAUUGCCCGGUAGCUAAAUUCGGAAGAGAUAACCGCUGAAAGCAUCUAAGCGGGAAACUUGCCUCGAGAUGAGUCUUCCCUGGGGCUUAAAGCCCCCUGAAGGAACGUUAAAGACUAUGACGUUGAUAGGCUGGGUGUGUAAGUGCAGCGAUGUAUUGAGCUAACCAGUACUAAUGAUCCGUGAGGCUUAACCUU
rnacentral:rRNA from 1 species